GACGAACGCUGGCGGCGUGCCUAAUACAUGCAAGUAGAACGCUUAAGGAGGAGCUUGCUUCUCUGGAUGAGUUGCGAACGUGUGAGUAACGCGUAUGUAACCUGCCUUGUAGCUUGGGAUAACUUUUGGAAACGAUAGCUAAUACCGCAUAAUAGUAGAUGUUGCAUGACAUUUGCUUAAAAGUUUCAAUUUCAUCACUACCAGUUGGACCUGCGUUGUUUUUGCUUGUUGGUGUGGUAAAGGCUCACCAAGGCGACGAUACAUAUCCGAACUGAGAGGGUGAUCGGGCAAAAUGGGAAUGAGAAAAGGGACAGAAUAAUAAGGGAGGCAGCAGUAGGGAAACUUGGGCAAUGGACGGAAGACAGACCGAGAAAGGCGGAGUGAGUGAAGAAGGAAUUAGGAUCGGAAAGCACUGUUGUAAGAGAAGAAAGAGAGUGAGAGUGGAAAGAUCACAAAGUGACGGUAUCUUAACAGAAAGGGACGGCUAACUACGUG
rnacentral:rRNA from 1 species